GUUGUAAGAUGCGUUGUGUUGCAAGUGUUCAUUUUAAAUGAAGUGUUUGUUUUUUUGUAUUUUUAGUUUGAGAUAAAGGUGUUGAAUCGGACAAGGAUCGGGACAGCCUCUUUACAUUGACAACGAUAUGGAAAAUUAAAUGCAGUACCUACCAACGGCCAACGUCUGUCACCAACAAGCAAUAGUUUAUUGAUUGUCACCAAGAGUUAAAACUAACAAUUUCCUUAAAAGAGAAAUGUCCACUGUUGUACUUUGGUAGACAAAAUUGUCAUUAACGUUGAGCCAGUGGAAAAAUCGUAUUUCUGACGCGAUUAGCUUACAGAAAUGAGGGGUCGGUUUAGAAACCUCUAGACUAAGCUGCACAUGUAGCAGAAAUGGUGAAAUCCUAAAAGUUUGGGAAUUAGUAGCGGCCCUGGAAGUACAUCACUGAAAUAUAAACCAAGAAAAAUAAAGGUAAUCCGAUACAAACGGAUUAUUAUAUACUAUGGUUGUGACCAAAGUGAGGAACCACUACAUUUUAUUCCCAAGUUUACCAGACACUUUACCAGGUGCAGAGUGCACCCUUAACUACUGGCAUUUGGUUAGUACACUUAGGAAAGGAUCUUGUUCUGCUUAGUUGAAGAAGUUCCAAUUUAAAAGA